rnacentral:rRNA from 1 species
GAUGAACGCUGGCGGCGUGCCUAAUACAUGCAAGUCGAGCGAAGCGGGGACGGGUGAGUAACACGUGGAUAACCUCCUAUAAGACUGGGAUACCUUCGGGAAACCGGAGCUAUACCGGAUACUUAUGGAGGGACUUGCGCUGCAUUAGCUGGUUGGGAAGGUAACGGCUUACCAAGGCAACGAUGCAUACCCGACCUGAGAGGGUGAUCGGCCACACUGUAACUGAGACCCGGUCCAGACUCCUACGGGAGGCAGCAGUAGGGAAUCUUCCGCAAUGGGCGAAAGCCUGACGGAGCAACGCCGCGUGAGUGAUGAAGGUCUUCGGAUCGUAAAACUCUGUUAUUAGGGAAGCGGUACCUAAUCAGAAAGCCACGGCUAACUACGUGCCAGCAGCCGCGGUAAUAC